rnacentral:lncRNA from 1 species
AAAUCAAGAAGAAGGAUUUGCUAACUUGAUUUAACUAAAUUAAUCUAUGAGUACGAAUUGAAAUUUAUCAAAGUAGAUAGAUCUAGGGUUUGGAAUCCACCGCAUAGCAUUGCAUUAGGGACUGUGUUCUUAAUUUUUAUCUUUUAGAGAUGCAUGCAAAUUGGCUACAAGCCUUUUAAAAUAAAAACAUAAAGAGUGUUAGGAAGAUCCAUCUUCGGUGUAGCAUGAAGUGUCUACCUAAUUAUGCUAACCUAGAGUGCAGCACACCUCAUCUUCCUAGGCAUGGAUCAUCUUAAACUACUUUAGCAGACAUGAAUAAUAAAUAGCAUGCUCAAAGUUUAAACAUCGUAAAAGGAUUUUUCAUUGAUAAUAAGAAUUUAAACAAGCUCCAAAAAAUUAAAAGAGUAAGAACUACAAUGCCCUGAUACAUUGCUAGGGCUUCAUCCAGCCCUAGACUAGGUGUUCAGCCGCGCAUGGUGGCCGGAUGUCCUUCCAUCUUCAAAUGAAAGCCUUCACCUCCCAUUCUUCCAAAANN